rnacentral:rRNA from 1 species
CCUACGGGGGGCUGCAGUGGGGAAUUUUGGACAAUGGGGGCAACCCUGAUCCAGCCAUGCCGCGUGCGGGAAGAAGGCCUUCGGGUUGUAAACCGCUUUUGUCAGGGAAGAAAUCUUCCGAGCUAAUACCUUGGGAGGAUGACGGUACCUGAAGAAUAAGCACCGGCUAACUACGUGCCAGCAGCCGCGGUAAUACGUAGGGUGCUAGCGGUAAUCAGAGCGACUGGAGGCGGAUGUGGCAGAGGCGGGUGAAAUCCCCGGGCUUAACCUGGGAACUGCACUUGUGACUGUACGGCUUGAGUACGGCAGAGGGGGAUGGAAUUCCGCGUGUAGCAGUGAAAUGCGUAGAUAUGCGGAGGAACACCGAUGGCGAAGGCAGUCCCCUGGGCCUGUACUGACGCUCAUGCACGAAAGCGUGGGGAGCAAACAGGAUUAGAUACCCUUGUAGUC